GAUGAACGCUGGCGGCGUGCCUAAUACAUGCAAGUCGAGCGAACAGACGAGGAGCUUGCUCCUCUGACGUUAGCGGCGGACGGGUGAGUAACACGUGGAUAACCUACCUAUAAGACUGGGAUAACUUCGGGAAACCGGAGCUAAUACCGGAUAAUAUAUUGAACCGCAUGGUUCAAUAGUGAAAGACGGUUUUGCUGUCACUUAUAGAUGGAUCCGCGCCGCAUUAGCUAGUUGGUAAGGUAACGGCUUACCAAGGCAACGAUGCGUAGCCGACCUGAGAGGGUGAUCGGCCACACUGGAACUGAGACACGGUCCAGACUCCUACGGGAGGCAGCAGUAGGGAAUCUUCCGCAAUGGGCGAAAGCCUGACGGAGCAACGCCGCGUGAGUGAUGAAGGUCUUCGGAUCGUAAAGCUCUGUUAUUAGGGAAGAACAAAUGUGUAAGUAACUAUGCCCGUCUUGACGGUACCUAAUCAGAAAGCCACGGCUAACUACGUG
rnacentral:rRNA from 1 species